CCUACGGGUGGCUGCAGUGAGGAAUAUUGGUCAAUGGACGAGAGUCUGAACCAGCCAAGUAGCGUGAAGGAUGACUGCCCUAUGGGUUGUAAACUUCUUUUAUAAAGGAAUAAAACGAGGCACGUGUGCCUUUUUGCAUGUACGUUAUGAAUAAGGAACGGCUAACUCCGUGCCAGCAGCCGCGGUAAUACGGAGGCUCCGAGCGUUAUCCGGAUUUAUUGGGGUUAAAGGGAGCGUAGAUGGGUUGUUUAGUCAGUUGUGACAGUGUGCCGCUCAACCGGAAAAUUUCAAUUGAUACUGUCAGUCUUUCGUACAGUUGCGGUAGGCGGAAUUCGUGGUGUAGCGGU
rnacentral:rRNA from 1 species